rnacentral:ncRNA from 2 species
UUUGUCCAUCGCGACUGGCGCAGAACGCGUGUUUUCGCACGCGGAGGUGGAACGAACCACCGGGAAGCGAUCGAUGUAGCGGGCACCGCGCGCCUGGGUGUCCUUC